GUGUCUACUGCAGGGUGCCUUCCUCAAUCUUCCUCUACCUUAUCUUUGAGGUAGGCUCUCCUCACCGAGCCCAGGGCUCCCUGUUUUGCCCAGUGAACUCCAGGGACUCGCCUUUUGGCCAUCUCCCAAUGCUGGGGUUAGAGACUAACACUGCAGAACCCAGCUUUCAUGUGGGUGCCGGGGAUCCAGGCUUGGAUCUUCCUACUUACAGAGCAAGCACUUUACCCACGAAGCUACCUCCCUGUUAUUAAGGAAUAUUUUUUAUGUGUGCAGGGUUAAAAAUCAGGGAGCGUCUGAAAGAAAAGACACCUCUUACUCCAGGGUCUUGUGUAACUUCCUGGUUGACUGAGAGUCAGGACUUGAACGCGUCAGAUAAAGAAAAGACGAGCCUCAGAGAUGGGGCAGGUUUUCCUAAAAACAUCGAAGACAAGAUGUUAAAAGCAACGAAGGAAGGAUGGCAGGGGAGGGUGUUUGUAACCCUUGGCUUCGCCGUGUUAGAACUCCCUCUUACCCCCAAUGGAAACACGCAUCCCACAGAACCACUUGUGAGAGGACGUUCCUUAAGACAAGAAAACCCAGGUACUCAAGAGCUAACAAUGUCCUCCGCUGUCUGGAAGCAAAAUCUCAUCAAAUUGUACAGAAGGAGUUUGAGAAAAGCCAGAGGCGACGUUUAAAGUUGCAACCAUGCACUGACUAAAAGGUACCACUGCCCCGUGGACAUCUGAGAAGGAAGGAGACAUCUUACAACCGUUCUUUUCAUCGUUCUUUUCAUCAGUCGUGUUCAGAGAACAAAGGGACCACGUCUGUGGCCUUUCUUAUUACAUUUGUGACUGAAUCAUGCUGGCUGGGACUUUAACGAGAUGAUUAAUGACCCAAGCAGGGCAUUAUUUCAGACAUGGGAGGAUGAGAGGCUGACACAGGGCUACUGCUUCCAGUGAACUCAUCUCUCCAGAGACUGAAUGUAGACAGCAAGUGGAGCCGAGAGAAAUGUACCUCAUUCUCAAAUCUGCUGCUUCUCUUCCCUCCCCCCCUCUCUUUCUUUCCUCUCCUCUUCUUGACAUCAGAUGCCAGGGUCCCAACUUCCUCCAGUAACGUGAAGUCAGUAGUGUCUACCUCUCAGACAACUGAGCAGUCUACCUUAAAACUCUGAUCUGGACUUUCGCUUUGCCAGACCCUUUUCAUUUUAUAUCCUCUUUGCUUGUCUGACAUUGAAAACAGUUUUAGUUUUAAAUAAUACUUAACUUCAAAACAUUUCAAAGACUGGAAGACGCCCAUAUUCCUUACCUUUAGAAACUUUUAACAUAUUUGCUACAUCGUAUUUUCUCUUUUUACAAACGUAAACACACAUUUACAGGCCAACCCUCCAUUCACAAACACACACAUAUGCCCAGACCCCACACACACACACACAUGCACACAUACUCAUGCACACAAAGGCACACACAUGCACACACAUACACACACACACACAUGAACACACAUGCAUACAACGCACACACAUGUACACGCACGCACACAGAUACACACAUGUAUACAAAUACACAUACAUACAUAUACACAUACACGUACACACAUACACACACACACACACACACACACACAAAUACCCACCACACUCAUGCAAUUUUGUUCAUCUUAGGAACUACUCAAGAAUGACUUGUAAUAUCAUUCCUCUGUGUACCUCUUUGAAUAUUCCUAAAAGUGGAUAUUCCUUUGUAUUUUCCCAGUGUAUAGCUGUCAGAUGUGGACAGCAUAGAAACAAUACUUUUAUUCUGUGUUCCAUCACACAUCAUGCUAGUCGUGCUGCUAAGGUUGGAGAUCGUUUCCCUUCCAAUACGAGACCCAGGUUAGGAUCCUAUACUGUGAUUUUGAUGUGUUUUCUUGUGCUUGAAUCCAAAUCUGUAAGAUCCUCACAUCUGUGUUUCUUUAUCUCCUAUGACAUUGACUCUUUCAUUUUAAUAUAUUUAUAUAUUUAAAAGAAA